GUGUAAUCACCUUUUUAGAGUCUGGAACAGAAACAAAUGCUUAAUCAUAACAAUUGAAUGUGGAGAUUUGAUAGUUUGGUAUGAGUAUGAAUAUGAAUAUCAGAUAAUUAAAAAAUAAAAAAUAAAUAUGAACAGGAAUAUAGUUAUCUCUCAUUAGGAUCAUUUUCCUUUAUUUAUUCUACACAAAUUGCUUGGAGAAGAAACAUCAUUUUGUUAAAUUUUAUGCUUUAAAUUCUUGAAAUUGUUUUGGCUAUGGAUUAGUUAGUCUCAAAUUCUUUUACGAGCAGUUUUGGCCUAUCCAAUGAAAAGACUUGAGCGUUUUUGUCUUUGUUUGGCAGAAUCAUAUGUUUAAAUGUUCUCACUAACAAGUGGUGCUAUUAACCUGAGUUGUUUGACUUCUUGUCAGCAUUAUUUUUCAGCUAAUCUUUUAAAUUAAUACGUUGGAGUUUCUCUUAACAGCUGGUGUGGGUGUCCCUUCCAGCUCUUUUGAUAAUGAUACUGAUACUGGGACAAGCAGGUAGACAGUUAUUUAACAGUUAUUUAAAGGACAUGUGCAUUGGCCUACAUUUGUCUACUAAAGCAAAGUGGUAGGUGCAAUCUUUGGUGUUAGAGCUUAAUUGGGGAUUAUCACAUACACCCUUUAUCUCUUGUUGGGUCUACAGAUUGAAUGAUUUAAUCUCAAGCUGUUGUUUACUUUCUUUGUCAUUAAGUCUAUUGCAGAUAAAUUGCACCCAAAAAAAAAAAAAA
rnacentral:misc_RNA from 1 species